rnacentral:rRNA from 1 species
GACGAACGCUGGCGGCGUGCUUAACACAUGCAAGUCGAACGGAAAGGCCCUGCUUUUGUGGGGUGCUCGAGUGGCGAACGGGUGAGUAACACGUGAGUAACCUGCCCUUGACUUUGGGAUAACUUCAGGAAACUGGGGCUAAUACCGGAUAGGAGCUCCUGCUGCAUGGUGGGGGUUGGAAAGUUUCGGCGGUUGGGGAUGGACUCGCGGCUUAUCAGCUUGUUGGUGGGGUAGUGGCUUACCAAGGCUUUGACGGGUAGCCGGCCUGAGAGGGUGACCGGCCACAAUGGGACUGAGAGACGGCGCAGAAGCCUACGGGAGGCAGCAGUGGGGAGUAUUGCACAAUGGGCGGAAGCCUGAUGCAGCAACGCCGCGUGCGGGAUGACGGCCUUCGGGUUGUAAACCGCUUUCGCCUGUGACGAAGCGUGAGUGACGGUAAUGGGUAAAGAAGCACCGGCUAACUACGUG